rnacentral:rRNA from 1 species
AACGAACGCUGGCGGCAGGCCUAACACAUGCAAGUCGAGCGAGACCUUCGGGUCUAGCGGCGGACGGGUGAGUAACGCGUGGGAACGUGCCCUUUUCUACGGAAUAGCCUCGGGAAACUGAGCGUAAUACCGUAUACGCCCUUUGGGGGAAAGAUUUAUCGGAGAAGGAUCGGCCCGCGUUGGAUUAGGUAGUUGGUGGGGUAAUGGCCUACCAAGCCUACGAUCCAUAGCUGGUUUGAGAGGAUGAUCAGCCACACUGGGACUGAGACACGGCCCAGACUCCUACGGGAGGCAGCAGUGGGGAAUCUUAGACAAUGGGGGCAACCCUGAUCUAGCCAGGCCGCGUGAGUGAUGAAGGCCUUAGGGUUGUAAAGCUCUUUCAGCUGGGAAGAUAAUGACGGUACCAGCAGAAGAAGCCCCGGCUAACUCCGU